rnacentral:rRNA from 1 species
UACGGGGGGAGCAAGCGUUGUUCGGAUUUACUGGGCGUAAAGGGCGCGUAGGCGGCCUCUGCAGUCGUCGUUGUGAAAUCUCCGGGCUUAACUCGGAAAGGUCAACUGAUACUGCAGGGCUAGAGUGCGGAAGGGGCAACUGGAAUUCUCGGUGUAGCGGUGAAAUGCGUAGAUAUCGAGAGGAACACCUGCGGCGAAGGCGGGUUGCUGGGCCGACACGUGACGCUGAAGCGCGAAAGCCAGGGGAGCGAACGGG